rnacentral:rRNA from 1 species
UACGUAGGGUGCAGGCGUUAAUCGGAAUUACUGGGCGUAAAGCGUGCGCAGGCGGUUUCUUAAGUCAGAUGUGAAAGCCCCGGGCUUAACCUGGGAACUGCGUUUGAAACUGGGAGACUUGAGUGUGGCAGAGGGGGGUGGAAUUCCACGUGUAGCAGUGAAAUGCGUAGAUAUCGGGAGGAACAUCAGUGGCGAAGGCGGCCCUCUGGUCCAGUACUGACACUCAAGUGCGAAAGCGUGGGGAGCAAACAGG